rnacentral:misc_RNA from 1 species
GAUGAAGAACGUAGCGAAAUGCGAUAAGUAAUGUGAAUUGCAGAAUUCAGUGAAUCAUCGAAUCUUUGAACGCACCUUGCACCCUUUGGCAUUCCGAAGGGUAUGCUCGUUUGAGUGUCAUUGUACUCUCACACUUCUGAUCCUUUGGAUUGGGAGCGGUGGACUUGGGUGUUGCUGCUUUACUGUGGCUCACCUCAAAUGCAUUCGUGCAACUCUUGGUUGGACAUAGUACGGCGUGAUAAGUAUCUUCGCCGGCACCUCGCAAGAGGGUGGCUGAUCAGGAGCUCUGUGCUUUCCAUCUGUCUUCAGACAACAACUGACAACUUGACCUCAAAUCGAGUAGGACCACCCGCUGAACUUAAGCAUAUCAAUAAGCGGAGGA